rnacentral:lncRNA from 1 species
GUUAUCGUGCGAUAAGACCAUUUCAGAGACCUUUGCUUACAAACAGACACACAGUUUUCCGUAUCCAAUGUAGUGCAGAGCUCGCUAAAGUUGAAAAUUAGCAUCGUGGAGGAAGAUCCAUUGUUCCAAUGGAACUCGGUUCAUCUUCCUUGGACGAAUCGUAGCCCGGAUUUGAACCAUAUCGAGCAUAUAUGGAACACUAUUGGGCGGAACGUGCGCGAAAGGAAACCCCAG